rnacentral:tRNA from 1 species
GCCGGGGUGGCGGAACUGGUAGACGCCUGGGACUUAAAAUCCCAUGGGAUUUCUAAUCCCGUGCCGGUUCGAUUCCGGCCCUCGGCA